CCUACGGGAGGCAGCAGUGAGGAAUAUUGGUCAAUGGCCGGAAGGCUGAACCAGCCAUGCCGCGUGAAGGUCAGUGCCCUAUGGGCGUUAAACUUCUUUUGUGCGGGAGCAAUAAUGGUCACGUGUGGCCAGACGAGAGUACCGUACGAAUAAGCAUCGGCUAACUCCGUGCCAGCAGCCGCGGUAAUACGGGGGAUGCAAGCGUUAUCCGGAUUUAUUGGGUUUAAAGGGUGCGUAGGCUGUGAGGUAAGUCAGCGGGGAAAUGCCCCCGCUCAACGGGGUGAAGUGCCAUUGAUACUGCCUUGCUGGAAUGCGGAUGCCGUGGGAGGAAUGUGUGGUGUAGCGGUGAAAUGCAUAGAUAUCACACAGAACACCGAGUGCGAAGGCAUCUCACGAAUCCGCGAUUGACGCUGAUACACGAAAGCGUGGGUAUCAAACAGGAUUAGAUACCCUUGUAGUC
rnacentral:rRNA from 1 species